AUGAACGCUGGCGGCGUGCCUCAUACAUGCAAGUCGAGCGAACGGACGAGAAGCUUGCUUCUCUGAUGUUAGCGGCGGACGGGUGAGUAACACGUGGAUAACCUACCUAUAAGACUGGGAUAACUUCGGGAAACCGGAGCUAAUACCGGAUAAUAUUUUGAACCGCAUGGUUCAAAAGUGAAAGACGGUCUUGCUGUCACUUAUAGAUGGAUCCGCGCUGCAUUAGCUAGUUGGUAAGGUAACGGCUUACCAAGGCAACGAUGCAUAGACGACCUGAGAGGGUGAUCGGCCACACUGGAACUGAGACACGGUCCAGACUCCUACGGGAGGCAGCAGUAGGGAAUCUUCCGCAAUGGGCGAAAGCCUGACGGAGCAACGCCGCGUGAGUGAUGAAGGUCUUCGGAUCGUAAAACUCUGUUAUUAGGGAAGAACAUAUGUGUAAGUAACUGUGCACAUCUUGACGGUACCUAAUCAGAAAGCCACGGCUAACUACGUG
rnacentral:rRNA from 1 species